rnacentral:lncRNA from 1 species
GAGGAUGUUCUCAAUCUCAUCCCUGGAUUGCCUGUGAAGGCAGCAUUCGCAGAACCACCAAAGUUGGAAGAAGUAGCAAUGGCUGUCUCAAAGUUGAAUAAUGGGAAGUCUCCGGGUAUGGAUGGCAUACAUGCGGAGUUGUUACAGCAUGGUGGUGAGAAAAUUCUGCAGAAACUUCACUCUUUGUUUGGUAAGGUAUGAACUAGUGAAUCUGUACCUGAGGACUGGAGAGAUGCAGUAAUGGUGGUCCUGUAUAAGGGAAAGGGCAACAGGAAUGAUUGUGGUAAUUAUAGGGGAGUAUCAUUGCUGUCUGCUGUAGGAAAGAUUUUAUGCAGGAUAUUUCUAGAUCGUCUGCUGAAAUAUAUUGCAGAUUGUGUUCUUCCAGAAAGUCAAUCUGGCUUUCGUGUGGGACGUGGCACUGAUCUUUUCAGCUAGACAGCUUCAGGAAAAGUGUGUGGAACAGGGUCUGGAUUUGUAUCAGGUGUUUGUCGAUCUGACAAAAGCCUUUGAUACCGUCAAUAGAAAAGCAUUGUGGAAAGUCCUCCAGAAAUUUGGGUGUCCUGAAAAGUUCCUUGCUUUGGUUAGGUCUUUUCAUGAAGACAUGAAUGGUAGGGUGAAUGUUAGAGGGAAGAUGUCGGAGCCCAUUUCAAUACAAAAUGGAGUGAAACAGGGGGAUAUUCUGGCACCGACCCUAUUUUCCAUAUAUUUCGCGAUGGUGUUCUGUAUUGCAUUCAGAAACUGCAGACACGGUGUUUACGUCCAUUAUCGAACCUCUGGCAGCAUAUUUAAUAUCAGGCGCCUUGCUGCAAAAACAAAGAUAUUUACCUUUAUCAUGCUGAUGAUUGUGAGCUAGUAGCACACACAGAGAUUGAUAUGCAACACAUUUUGAAUGCAUUCUCUGAUGCUUGCACUGCCUUAGGAUUGACAGUCAAUCUCAAGAAAACUGUUGUCAUGCAUCAACCUGCCCCUGGUAAGCAGUAUAGUGUACCAAAUAUCUAUGUGAAUGGUAAACGACUUGAUGUAGUCGAUCAGUUUGUCUACCUGGGAAGCACUAUUAAUAGAUAUGGCAAUGUGGAUGAUGAAAUUCCAUAUAGAAUUAGGAAAGCAAGUGUUGCUUUCGGAAGGCUAGAAAAGUGCCUCUGGAGUCGGCGAGACAUAUGCAGAAAGACAAAGAUAAAGGUGUACAAAGGCAUGUGUGCUCCCUUCUCUUCUCUAUGCCUGCGAGACGUGGGUCACAUAUCGAUACCACCUUAAACAACUGGAACGUUUCCAUCAGAUGUGCCUCAGACGGAUCUAUAGCAUUAAGUGGAAGUACCGCAUCAGUGAUCUUGAAAUACCCGAAGGCUCUCGAUGUGUAAGUAUAGAAGCUCUUGUGUUAAAGCAAAGACUCAGAUGGUCAUCUGGUCAGAAUGAAGGAUUCAAGGAUGCCAAAACAACUCUUUUAUGGAGAGUUAGCUAAAGGAGAACGAUCUCCACAUAAACCAAAAAGAGGUAUAAGGACUUGCUGAAGGCUUCCUUAAGAGAUGCUUGCAUCUCUCCUGAGACAUGGGAAGGCAUAGCUAUUGAUCGUAGCAGGUGGAGAAGGAUUGUGCAUGAGGGGACAGCCACGUUUGAGAAAUCUCGAGUUGCACAUGAGAAAGUAAGGAGGGAUGUCACGAAGGGCAUUGCUGUUACACUUCCAGAAGGGAAGGGUCUUCCUUUGAUUCUAACAUGCAAUAUCUGUGCAAGACCCUGCCUCAGUAAAGCUGGACUCAUGAGUCAUCUUGGUAGUCAUAAAACGAGACAGAUGAGUGACACCCUGGCCACUGGUAGUGGUGUAACACACCAUACUAAUCAUAUCUGUCGGGCAUGUGGAAGAGAGUGUAAUUCGGCAGGAGGACUUAAACGACAUGCAAAGGUACAUGAAGCCCAGUUACAACUACAGUCGGCUAUUACCAGUAAAGGUUUUAGCUGCCAAUUCUGUACAAGGCAUUGUAGAUCUUUAGCUGGGCUAAAAUGUCACAUUCGAUCACAGCACCAGUAACAGUUAAGCUUCGUGUAAUGGCCAUACUCGAUAACAAGGGGGCAGCCAUAAUAUGUAUGUAUGUGCGUAUGUAUGUAUGUGUGUACAUGUAUGUGUAUAGGCAUGCAUGUGUGCAUGCCUAUACGCAUGUAUGUACCUAUGUACUUACGUAUGUAUGUGAGUAUUUAUGAGAGUGUGUAGACGUGUCUGUGUGUUUGUACAUGUGUAUGUAUAUGUGAACGUAUGUUUAUGUAAUGAUAUGUGUCAGUUCAAGUUGUAUACAUGACUGUUACCUUGUUGAAGGUUGUAUAUAUACACACAUAUACAUUUAUAUAGACACGUCUAACAGUGAAUGGAUACAACGUCUUAGAUACAUACAUGCACAUAUAACCUUAUACAUAUAUACAAGUACAUACAAUCAUAUAGACACUUACACAUACUCACAAAUAUACGUAUAAUCAUAAAGUAUACACACAUAUACGCUCAUCCAUCUCUACAUACAUACAUACAUACAUACAUACAUACAUACAUACAUACAUACAUACAUACAUACAUACAUACAUACAUACAUACUUGCAUGCAUAUAUGCAGUUAUAUAUAACCGUACGAGCGUACAUUGUUUGAUAUGUAUGUACGAAUGUGUAGAUGUAUAUGUGUGUAUACGUGUGUGUAUGUUUUGUGUGUUGUGUGUUGUGUAUGUUAGUGUAUAAGUAUGUACAUGCAUGCACAUAUGAGUAUGUGUAAAUAUAUAUAUAUGUAUUAUAUAUGCAUGCAUGUAAAAAUUUAAAAAAAGGAUAAAUAGAAUAAAAUAAAACAAAUUUGAAUUUUAACCGUUGUCCCUGAAAAGAAUGUCAUAUAUAUGUAUAUAUAUAUAUGUAUAUGUAUGUGUGUGUGUAUGUGUGUGUGUGUGUGUGUGUGUGUGUGUGUGUGUGUGUGUGUGUGUGUGUGUGUAUAUAUAUAUUUAUACAUACACACACACAUACAUAUACAUAUAUAUAUGCAUAUAUAUGACACAAAGAGUGUCAUAUAUAUGUAUAUAUAUGUAUAUGUAUGUGUGUGUGUAUGUAUAAAUAUAUAUAUAUAUAUAUAUAUAUAUAUAUAUAUAUAUUUAUACAUACACACACACAUACAUAUACAUAUAUAUGACACUCUUUUUCAGGGACAACAGUUAAAAUUCAAAUUUGUUUUAUUUUAUUCUAUUUAUCCUUUUUUUAUUUUUACAUGCAUGCAUAUAUAAUACAUAUAUAUAUUUACAUAUACUCAUAUGUGCAUGCAUGUACAUACUUAUACACUAACAUACACAACACACAACACAUACACACACGUAUACACACAUAUACAUCUACACAUUCGUACAUACAUAUCAAACAAUGUACGAUCGUACGGUUAUAUAUAACUGCAUAUAUGCAUUUUAGUACCAAGCAUUUCGACAUGUAUGCAUGGAUUAUUAUAUGUAAAUGAGAGAGAAAGGGGUGGUUAUAGAAUGGUACUCCCGAGUGGAAUCUAGAUGUUACCCCAUUCGGGUUUUCGGUUGAGAGUGGGUUUGUAUUCCUGUAUACAAAGAGCUUCAGUGACCUGUCUCAGCAUUGCAUCAGUGGGAUGUGUUGAUAAAAUGUUUAAUUUAAGUCUCCCUAAGGAGCCCUUGUGGCAGUCUACAGCAUGCUGAUAGAAGAUGGAGUUUGGUUUCCUUUCAAUGUAGUUGUCCAGGUGUUCUUUGAAUCUAUCAUUGAUACUCCUAGAAGUCUCACCUAUGUAUGACUCUCGGUUAGUCGCGCAAGCUCCUUCUUGUCACUUAAUUUGGUAUACAGUGCUCUUGGUUUUGCAGUUCACAUGUGGGUUUGUAGAACACCGCACAAUUAUUUUGACAUGUGAAUCUAUCAAAUGGAUAUGAUCUACACAAUACAGAUUUGAUAGACCUACCUGUCUUUUCUACAACAUUGAUCUUAAGGCCAGUUGUGUGCAGGAUUUUCUUGAAUGCCUUACACAAUUCGUUCUUAGAUGUGGCGUCAACAAACAUUACACAGUGAAAUUUUUUGUUAUCAUACCAAGUAUUGGUUUCAUUUCUCUUGUUGGUGUCUCUCUCUAACCUAUAUAUAUAUAUAUAUAUAUAUAACAGGAAGGUUUACGAAAAUAAACAAAAGACAAAGGCAGGUGGAGUACAAACAAACAAAUGUAUUAGUAUGGCGCUCAGGAAUAGAAAUAGAACAAGUCUUUUACGUUUCGAGCCUACGCUCUUCGACAGAAAGAUACACAGAAAAAAACAAGGAGAGAAAAAAAAUGCGUGUAGGAGCUAUGCACAUAUAUAUAUGCAUACAUAUAUAUAUAAAUGCGCGUGCAAUAUACAUGUCAUUCCAGCUCCCGGCACUUUUGGUUCAGACUCACCGAGGUCAACUUUGCACCUCAACUUUUCAGGUAGGAUAAAUCAUGUACCAAACCAGUUCUGAAGCUGAUUUCUCUAUCUCCCUCUCUCCCUCUCUCUCUCUCUCUCUCUCUCUCUCUCUUUCUCUCUCCCCCUCCCUCUCUGUGUCUGUCUCUCACUCUCAUUCACUCUUUCAUUCUCUCUCCCCUCCCUCCCUCUCUGUGUCUGUCUCUCACUCUCAUUCACUCUUUCAUUCUCUCUCCCCUCCCUCCCUCUCUGUGUCUGUCUCUCACUCUCAUUCACUCUUUCAUUCUCUCUCCUUCUCUUUCCUUCUCUCUCUCUCUCUCUCUUCUGGGAGGAGAAACAAUCUACAUGUCAUUAAAGUCAAGCGUGGAUACUUUUAACUCUAAGCUUGAAAUGCCAGCAUUGACAAGUGUGUAGCUUCCAUUAUACUCGGAACUACCACAUCAAGUUAUAGUUAGUAAGUCUUACUGUUGUAAUCGAAGAGCUAAUGUUAUAUGCAAAAUAUCUAUUGAACAAGUAACACGGAAGACGUUGAUUAUGUCCAUCUGUGGUUACAUUUUACAUGUAAUCAGCACCUGCCUCGAAUGUUACCAAUGUAUUAACUCCCUUCGUGAUAUGGCGAGCUAAAAUAACAUACCAUUGGGUAUGUAAGAAUGACUGCUCUGUGGUAAACAUGGAUAAAUACUACAAACGUAAAGUAGAGCCCCACAGUUUCAUGCAUAGAAUAUUGAUAGAGUAUACCAGUCAAAACUUUCAACAAAGGUAAACACGCGACAGUCCGAGCCACAGAAGGAGUCUCGUCCAGCAAGAAAUUGUCGCAAAAUUGUGCUUCAAAUGAUAUUUUGUCAUUUCAAAUAAGGAAAUGACACAUUAGAUCAUGUAGUCAUAUAUACUUUAAUAAAAUGGGAUAGUUACAAUUGGAAUGUCUGUGAUCAUGGAUCUGCUCGACAAGGGUUGGUUUGGGCUUGACCACGACAAUGACAACAACAACGGCACUCAAAUACAAACAAUACAAAUCUAAUGUUUGUUCUAUAUUCACAUAAAACUUUUUUAGAAAUCUAGAAACAGUGAUAUUAACAAACAGAAAUAACAGCACCAUUGUAAACAGGCCCUCACACACACACACACACACACACACACACACACACACACACACACACACACACACACACACACACACACAUAUAUAUAUAUAUAUAUAUACACACACACAUCACAUCACAUUACAUAGGUCCGUGGGAGAAAUGUCUUAAAUGGGGACUGAAUACAAGUGACAACUGAAAGAGCGAGGAAUUCUACAUGUCAAAUUUUGACGUCACCAAUAGGUAGUUACCAAGCAACAGCAACCAGUGUUUGUCUUGGACAUUCAAGAAUUAUCACUGAAUUCGUCUUGUGUCGUAUCAAAAAUGGCAAGGGACCUACCGGUAACCUUCCCAUUUGAGUAUGCCAUUCGAGCCUCUGGACAAGGCGAACCGUGGACUCGAAUGGAUUUUACCAAUGAGAAAUUUAAUCAAUAUGGUUGGAGAUGUAGUAAAUACGAGGAUUAUGAAAACCCUAAAGUUUUGAUGGGAAAUUGGCGAGAAAGAUCAUACAGUGAUGGUCUCGUUGAGAAUAUGACUCCAAUGAGAUCUCAGGUAAAAAAAAACUUCAAACAUCCAUAGGCACACAAUUUUUGCACUUCAUCUCUAUAUAACUUUCUUCCUCUUUCUCUUCCUCCUCCUCCUCCUCCUCCUCCUUCUUCUUCUUCUUCUUCUUCUUCUUCUUCUUCUUCUUCUUCUUCUUCUUCUUCUUCUUCUUCUAAUAAUAAUAAUAAUAAUAAUAAUAAUAAUAAUAAUAAUAAUAAUAAUAAUAUUCUUCUUCUUCUUCUUCUUCUUCUUCUAAUAAUAAUAAUAAUAAUAAUAAUAAUAAUAAUAAUAAAUGCCCUGAUGCAGUAUAAAAUGCCCUGAUUCAGUACCAGGCAGUGGCUCUCGUGGCUUCUGAUCUUAACUGAUUGGAAGUGUUAUCAUGUACAUUGUUUUGUCUUGGUAUAAAAGAUGGGCUACAGCAAAUAUUCUGCUCAAUACCACAGAUUUGCUUGUCAGUUGUUUGACCUUAACCAGUUGAACAUGUCCCUUAGUGGCUGAUGAUAUGUGCAUCUCUGAUCACGAGCAGAAGUAGUGGGGGAGCAUCAUAGCCAUGUGUUGAGAAGGGUUCUUUGGGGUUUGAAUAAUUCACUUCUGGAAACAUGGGUGUUUCAUUCAACAUCCUUAAACAACUCUUAUUCGGGGACCUUUUGAGCGGAAUGGGUUACUUGACCAGAAGAAAAUUCUAACUGGGCCCCACUUGCAAGGUCAUGUGCUGUUUAUCUUGAUAUGAGAUAACCAUGUCGCGCACAUAUGGUUGUGAUGCAUGUGCCUAGUGUACCCUUAUCAGACGGGUAGUCAUGAUGGGUAUGCUGGGCUUCGUAUAUUUUACCCCAGUAUCACUUUGAUGGCAUGCACUGCUCUCUCACUCAAUAAUAAUAAUAAUAAUAAUAAUAAUAAUAAUAUUAUUAUUAUUAUUAUUAUUAUUAUUAUUAUUAUUAUUAUUAUUAUUAUUAUUAUUAUUUAAGGCGGCGAGCUGGCAGAAGCGUUGGCGCGCCGGGCGAAAUGCCUAGCGGUAUUGUCUGCCGCUACGUUCUGAGUUCAAAUUCCGCCGAGGUCGACUUUGCCUUUCAUCCUUUCGGGUUCGAUAAAUUAAGAACCAGUUACGCACUGGGGUCGAUAUAAUCGACUUAAUCCGUUUGUCUGUCCUUGUUUGUCCUCUCUGUGUUUAGCACCUUGUGGGUAGUAAAGAAAUAGGUAUUUCAUCUGUCGCUACAUUCUGAGUUCAAAUUCCGCCGAGGUCGACUUUGCUUUUCGUCCUUUCGGGGUCGAUUAAAUAAGUACCAGUUACGCACUGGGGUUGAUGUAAUCGACUUAAUCCCCUCCCCCAAAUUUCAGGUCUUGUGCCUACAUUAGAAAGGAUUAUUAUUAUAUGAAAACACGCAGCUUAUUUUGCUGGGUAUAAUGGAAAAUGUCAGCUGUCCACGGCCAGCUAACUUAGGUGACAUUUGUUUACUGGUCAUGCUUCAAGAACCCUGCGGAGAAUUCUUGCAGUUUCAAGCAAUGCUGAUUUUUAUAGGUGUUCUACCUUUACACUUGCACCAAUCUUUUUCAACCAUAUUGGUAGCUGAGUGCUGAUACUUCCAAGUGCACCAAUUACUAUCACGUCUUCCCUCUUCAUUGACCACAACCUUCGUAUUUCCCACUUCAAAUCGUCAUAGUUGUUUAUUUUUUUCUUCUUCUUUCACAUUGAUCCUGUUGCCACCGGGGCAUGCUAUGUCGAUUAUCAUGCAUGUUGUUUCUUUUUUAUUCACCACAAUAAUGUCCGCUUUCUCGUUUUCGGUAACUCCUUCUGGAGUUUGCUCAUGCCACAUCUUUGCUUUUUGUAGGCCAUGAUUUUCACAGAGCUCCCAAUGGAUCAUUCUUGCUACAUUGUCAUGGCGUCUUUUGUAUUUGCGUUGUGCCAAUUUCGGGUAUUCGCUAACGAUGUGCCAUACCAUUUCACCCCUCUCACCAUACAUUCUGCAUUUAUCGCUAUCGACAAUGUUGUCUAUUCUGCACUUCAUAUAGCUGGUCCUUAACGCUUGCUCCUGGGCUGCGCAUAUGAAUGCCACUGUCUCUAUAUCUCUAUCUUCAGGUCACUCCUCAUCAUCCAUAGCCACCGGUCCUCUGUAUCUGUCAUCACGUUCAGAUCUUUUGCAAACUGACCGUACAUUUUCUUUUCCUACCAUACUAUCACCAUGGCUAUCACCAUGGAAAAUCCCUCUUCUGAUACCCAAGGUGCCCACAGUUUUCCAUCCCAUCAUACUUCUCUUCAGGAAACACGUCACAUUCCUCGCAAUUCCAAACAGAUUUAAGUACUCGAUGAUCCACGAAUGUGGAAUCAUAUCAUAAGCUUUGCGAUAGUUAAUCCAGGCCAAUCCCAGAUUUGUUCUCCUUCGUUUACAAUUUUGCAUUACCUUUUUACCUUUCAAUAGCUGAUCUGUGGAACCUCAGUUUCGUCGGUAAUAUAUCGUUCUCAUCAAAAAAAUUUUAUAUAGUUCUUCUGCAAUUCCUCUUGAUAGUAACUUCCACAUUAAUGAAAGACAGGAAAUUGGUCUUAAUUGUAAGCAGCAUUUUCCUUUGAUGCAUCCUCCAAGCACAACAUCGUUCGCCCUUUUAUCAACCAGUCCGAGAUUUUUUCUCCAUUGAUCAUUUUUUCUCCAUCUCUAUCACGGUAGUCCGCCAAGGCGGCAGGAGCCUUGCUUCCCUGGUUUGAACUCAGAGUGUUCCUUCUCCUAGGCUGCUUGCCAUCCAAGGCUAACGAGUACAGCCUACCUGGAGCACUGGUUAUUUAAAGGCGUCAGAUACUCGCCUUUUCCCACUAUUUUCCUGUUGGUUUGGCGAAGGAGUCGGGCUUGACUGUUAGCGGAUAGGUCUUGCGCAGACCAUUGGGUCAUUUUAUAAGAAAUGGGCGUUCAACUCUCCUCACCACCCCGGCCGUGACAGAAAGGAAAAAAUUAUUAUUAUUGUUAUUUACUUUUGAUCUGCAUGCUUGUUACAGUCACUUGCCGAGACACACCCAGUGUCCUGGGGCAAGUGAAGGAUAGAUGUUACAGCGUGACUGAAAGCUUGGGGAGGAGAAGUAGCGAAAGAUCUUCAUGUAAUACAACACAAACAUUUAAAUGGGUAGGGUUUUUCUAAGGAUAUGGGCAGUACUUGUCAGCACAAUCUUUGGGAUUUCUCUGAGACAUGGUUCUCCUAGGAUCUUAUCUUGAUGUUUCUGACAUCCCUUUUUUAUCAUACCUAGGGUACCUCCAAUAACAGGAACAGUUCUCGUUUUAAGUUGCCAUAUCUUUUGUUUUUUAAUUUCCAGGUACUUAUAUUUACUUAGUUUGUCAAAUUCCUUGACAGAUAUAUUUUUAUCAGUGGAAACAUUUACAUCUAUUAGUCUACAAGUGUUUUCUUCCCUGUCUUAAUAAUUAUGUCAGGUCGAAUAUCCUGGAUCGUUCCGUCAGUGCUGACUGGAAAAUCUCAGAGGAUAGUGACAUCAGGAUGAUGCUCAUACCAGUAAGCAAGAGUGCUGAUUUUGUAGUAUUUACAUAUUUUCCAGUGUAAACACUAUCCUACACCAUAGUGGCGAUUUUGGUAUUCGUUUGGUGUCAGCACAGGACAUCCCGAGACGAGAUGGUCUAUAUUUCGUCAAAUGUGUUGCAGAAUCUGCAUUUAGUAUCAGAACCGUUUUGAAGAAGAUUAACCAGGUAGUUUUUUUUUGUGUGUGUGUGAGCAAGCUUUGAUUUUGUACCGCCAAUAUGAAACCUUCUGUCUCUAUUUUUAGUCCCGAACUUAUCAGCCACUGAUGGGUUGUUGCUUGAUCUACAUCAGCAUUUCGACUUCGAAGUAUAUACUGUUCAUGCAGAGGCUUCUGGCUCCACCGCUCCUCAAUUUGUUUCAGCCCGAUAUUUUUUGCAGUCUGCUUGAUCCAUUUUGCUUGUUUUGCAGUAGUGGUUUCAGGUUCUUCAAAUAUUUCAGAAUUAAUGCAAGUUCCCUGGCGAAUUUGCAAGUUUCUUUGACAAUAGAAUGUGAUUAUUUAUUAUUAUUAUUAUUAUUAUUAUCAUCAUCAUCAUCAUCAUCAUCAUCAUCAUCAUCAUCAUCAUCAUCAUCAUCAUCAUCAUCAUCAUCAUUAUUAUUAUAUGUUUGACUUUUGCAUUGUUUUUGUAUAAUUUGACUCCAAGAGACCUCAAGAGACAACAAGUUAGAAGUUCAAGUUGGGGUUAUGACUAGGGUGCCAUAUAUUUGGUUUUGCACAAAGUUUUGUUCUAGGGAAUGUCUAAGAAGACAUAGGAAAAUUAUAAGUUUGUUUUAAAAUUCAGGAUUACAUAGAUAAUAUUUUAUGUAGGAUAUGGGCAGUUCCCAUGAGCAUUAUUUUUUAAAUUUCUUCUAUUUUGGAAUUUUCUGGUAUCUGAGCCCCUUUUCCUAUUAUUCCUAAUGCCCCUAUGACAACAGGUAUUGUUUUAGUCUACUUCCAGAUAUUAAUACUUGCUCAGUUUUGGGUAGGUCUUGACAAAUACAUCUAUGUUGAUUGGGAUAGUCAUAUCGAUGAGGAGGCAUGAUUUUUGUCUGAAGUCUUUCAAUAUAAUGUCUGGCCUAUUUGCAUCUAUCUUUCUGUCAGUUUGAAUGGUGAAGUUCCAGUGAAGCGAGAUAUGGUCAUUUUCAAGCACUGGAGGUGGUUUGUGUUCCCACCAAUUCUUAUCAUGGGGCAAGUCCAAGUCUUUGCAAAUUACCCAGUGAAUAUACUGUGCUGCUAUAUCAUGCCUGUUGAGAUACUCUGUAGGCACAAGAAGAAUGCACAUGGACUCAACAUGAUCAAUGGUUUCAUUUUGUUGUUGACAUACACGACACGUUGGGCUACUGCCGUUCUUUAAUAUGUUGGCCUGGUAGUUCCUUGUAGGUAGGCAUUGAUCUUGAGCUGCUAUAAUAAACCCUUCUAUUUCAGAUUUUAAGCCAGAGGCCAUUAGCCAUUGAUGGGUCAGGGCUUUGUCAACAUCUACAUUAUUCACUCUCUUUGGGUAUUUGCCAUUGAGAGGUUUUUCUGGCCAUUUAUCAUUCAGAAUAUCUAAGGCAGCAGUUUUAGCACGGGUUUUCAUGCGCUUAGCUUUUUCUAUGCUUGCUUCUUGUGUGUCUAAUUCCGGAAUUUGUUGAAUUCGGAAUUCACUCAGAUAUUCCUUUGCCUGUUUUGUUACUGAGUAUGAUGCUUUCUUGUUCUCAUGCUUUAAGACAAGUUUAAACAUACAGUCAUCAAAGUUUUUCAGGUUGGUGUCUCGACCAAUUGUGACAAUCUUCAAUGUUAAUUCCAGUUGUAAAAGUCCACGGCCACCCUCUUUUCUCGGCAGGUAAAGUCGUUCUAUAUCUGCCUUAGGGUGGUGCAUUCUAUGCAUUGUCAACAAUUUUUGUAUUUUUCUGUCAAGAUUACAUCUUUCAGUAAUUGACCAAUUAAUGAUAUUGAAACUGUUGGUCACAACUGGUAUGGCUAACGUAUUGAUUGCUUCGAUCCUGUUUCUUGCAUUCAGCUUUGUCUUAAGUAUUGCCCUUACUCUGCGAUAAUAAUUGUUGUUGUUGUUGUUGUUGUUGUUGUUGUUGUUGUUGUUGUUGUCGUUGUUGUCGUUGUUGUUGUUGUUGUUGUUGUUGUUGUUGUUGUUGUUGUUGUUGUUAAGGCGGCGAACAGGCAAAAUCAGACGAAAUGCUUAGCGAUAAGAUACACUUGAAGAGCAGAUUAAUAACUUUGUCAGUUGAAGAAGAUUCUAUCCAUUACCUUUCUCAGAACAUCUGAGAUUGAAGAGAAGUAAUCUUCGGGCUCGAGAUCUGUAACAAAUUCGACCAAAUCUACUACUCACGCUUUUGCACAGUUUCCGUCUAUGAAAUUUUACUCACAAAACUUCUGUUAACUCAAAUAGUUAAAGACUAUUGAAAUAGGAUUGAAACUGAAACCAGUGGGACUGAAAUUGAAACCACUUAGUUGCGAGCGAAUUUCGCAGCCACACGUAGCCAAACGUGCAAAAUAUGAAUAGAUGGAAAUCGUACGGAGUUGGAAUUUUCGGAGAAACAGAGACCUUUGUAGUAGCGGUGUAAGAAACAAAGUGUCUAUGUUUGAGUUGUAUUGUUGAAUGUAGAUUGUUGUUUAGCCACAGGUCAGUCCGCGAUGGAUAUACUUGCGAUCAAACGUGAUUCCCACCGUGAGAAUCAUCCAAUCUUUUCGUUUCACUUUCAUAGCCUACACUUAAAUUAUCAAGCAUGUUCCAGACCCAUUUUUUUCUUUUGCUUUGUCUUUUUUAUCAAUACAGAUACAGUGUUUCUAAGACUACAUUAUCCUAAAGGUUCCCUCGUUAGUCUGGCCAUCUUUGGUGGGAGGGGCAGAAUCCAGAUUACAUUUUUUAUCUUUUUUUACUUGUUUCAGUCAUUAGUCUAUGGCGAUGCUGGGGAAUCGUCUUGAAGAAUUUUUAAUCGAAUGUAUCGACCCCAAUACAUACUUUUUAUCGGCUUUUUAUUCUAUCGGCUUCUUUUGCCGAACUGCAAAAUUACUGGGACGUAAACACGCCAGCACUGGUUGUCAAGCAGUGGCGGAGGGAUAAACACAGAAACAAACACACACACACACACAUACAUAUGCACACGCACACACAAACAUAUAUAUAUAUAUAUAUAUACGAGCAAAACUCCCCCCGUCCAAUGGACGGUGCUGAGUUAUCAAACAUUUAAACUAAAUUUUCUCAAAACAACUUGUCCGACUGUCCCAUAGGCCUUCCCUUUGAGAAGCACUGAUUUAACCUAAAUUUGAGACACCAGCAAAAGAAGAAAUAAAGAUAGACUUUUUCCUAUUCCAAAGAAAAACGAUUUUAUUCACACAAAUAUGCAACCGAAGAGUUUAAAGUACCAGUAAUGAUAAGGCUGUUGACUGGGAGAACACAAAUAUGGUUUAAACAGUAAGCUUAGCAGGAAAGAAACGUGCCUUUAAGCAGUACAAAAACAACAAGAAAUGGAAGGUGCAGUUAUGUACAGGUUGACGGAAGAAAAGCAGGACAAAAACGGCUUUAUCGAUCGCAUUCUCACCUGAAAUCGAUUUUUGUAAUUAUACACUCCCUGAUACCGUCGGUAUCUACAUAUCAAAUUUGAGCGCAAUCGGAUGGAGGAUGCCCGAGAUCCGAGAAGACACACACACACACACACACACAGAACGGAUUUUAUAUAAGACAUAUACAUAUAUACGACAAGCUUCUUUCAGUUUCCGUCUACCAAAUCCACCUGCAAGGCUUUGGUCGGCCCGAGGCUAUAGUAGAAAACAUUUUCCCAAGGUGCCAGCCCAGCAGUGGGAUUGAACCGCGAACCAUGUAGCUGGGAAGCCAGCUUCUUUAUUUCAUGAUAAUUGACCAUAAAGGCCUUAUACAUAGGGGACAGCACAAGGUGGGGACAAAAAAAACAAAAAAAAAACGAAUGGAAUGAAUGAAAUUAUACAAUGAAAGAUGAAAUGAAGUCGCUCGGCCCCAACUCCGAACGACUUCAUUGAACCUGUUACCAUUUGCAACCACAGUUUAUACAUCUUUUUCAUUACCAUUUAUAACAGCAAUUUACCUUUUUUUUUAUCCAAUAUAUCUAUUUUAUAUUUUUGGAGAAUGUCAAAAUAACUCACCCGCUCUGGCAUAGUACUUGUAUUUAUCCUCUUUUCCCACCACUUAAAAUCUUCCAUAUACUUCCUCAAUCUCGCCAGGUACUCCGGGUCCACCACCGCACAUCACAUGUGCUCCGGCAACUUCCCCACUCCUGUCGUAUCCACUUUAAUUGCCGUAUCUCAUGUCUCUAUUUCCUUGCACAGUUCCUUGUUUCGUCCAUUGUACAACACAAUACAUUUUCUCUCCCAGGGCAAGGGUGGGCUCAGAAGUUGUGGCCCCUGUGUGCUUAUGUUUGUCUUUGUAUCGGGUGGGGCAUGGAGAGGGUUGGUGUCUGUAGGGAGUGGUAGGGGUAGAGUGGGUGUGGGUGAGGGUCAAGUGGGGUUGAGAGGGGGGAGUUCAACCUUUGCCACGUGUGUCCUCUCCUUCCUUUUCCUGCUCUUUUUCUCCACCAUUUCCCAAAUGGUAUUCGCUUCUUCCUCCUCCUCGACGCUGGUUCCACCUCACUUACAUCUUCCUCCACUGGCAGUGUAGCACCAACCACUUUUUCCUUCUGUCUCUCCUUGUCCUUUUCUAGUGGUGGAGGACACUCCGCUCUAAUGUGGCCUUUCGGGCCACAUUUAUAACAUCGCAAAAUCCUCCCUUCCAAUCUGACCUUUAAAAUCGUCUCUCCCACUGUGAUACUUUCGAUAAUUUUUUCGAUGUCCUCCUCCGCGAUUUACACUACCAUGUCAGGGGUUUAUGCCUUCCAGUUCCAAUUAGGUGAUCUAGUGACCUGUAGAACUACCACCAGUCAGGUUACAUUCACCCCUGGAGGUAUUUCCUCCACCCUAAUCCCGGAAGCACGUCUCCAAAGGUAUAUGGGUAAAAGAACUACCUUAUUCGUUUUCAGCGGUGUUGCCGAGUGCAGCCUGGAGGUAGCUACCUUUUCGAACUACACCUCUAUCGUUCCAGAUUUUUUACCUCUGGCAAGGUAUGAAAUCCCUAGCCAGACUGAUCUUAACGCCUUUUCUAUCUGUACUAUAGACAUGUUCUUAAUUUUUUCAACUGCCACUGAGUACGUCCUAUAAACUACCGUUCGUUCCGCUUUUUUCUUUAAGACUUCUUCGUGGGAGAACAUCUUCAAUUUGUUCCCCUCCCUUUUCAACAUUUCCUUAUACUUGCUUACAUCUUCCAGCCUUAUGUCUUCGUACUUUUCUUCCGUCGCUGCAGCAUAACUUCUAUUUUCCAUAGGUUUGUCUAUUUUCUUGAGGCACUCUGCCAUUUCUUACUCAGACGACACAUAGUCCGAGGACGGGCAGCUUUCAACGCUUGACACAGAACAACUCAAACCCUCGCAACUCCUCACUCGACGCCCUUCCCCCAUCACACAAGAAGAAAAACGUCGCACAGCCAAAAAACACGUCUAUCUGACACAAAUCCAACAAAACAGAUGAAUCACGGUAAACCGGAAGCAAGCUUCUUACCACACAGCAACGCCUAUGAGGGGUAUACUAUUCCGGACGUGUGACCUGUACUCUAAUGUUUGCCCAUGUGGAUCACUAACUGUUGUUAGCUUUUAAACAGGCCACCUGUCUCUCGAAACUUUUCCUGUGUGUGAAUAUAGCUGCUGCGAGACAGCAGAAGUUUAAAGACAGAGUUUCUCAGUGUUUCACAGCAAGGCUAGAAAUACUUUCUUACUGAAUAUUAUUGAUUAAUCCCUACAUAUUCUAUGUUCUAUGUUAUAUGACGUAAUUUUUCUCCUACAUUGCCAAGUCGGCAGCACGAGAUAAUUUAUGCUGCAAAUUGUCUCAGAGCGCUAACGUGGUUCUAACGGCAGUGGAACAAGUGAGACCCAGCUAAGUUCAAAUUACGAUUCGGUUUUUAAGUCCUUGUGUUCUAUUUAGAGCUUGUAACUCCAUAAUUGUUUCAGAGUGAGUUUAUACAUAUUGUCUCAUAUAAAGUGAAAUAUUCUUUAAUAUUCUAUGGUAUAUUUAUAUAUUAUUUUACUCUUUCUCUUUCUCCCACUUUUUCUUUUCUCUCUCUCUUUAUUUCUCUCUCUCUCUUUCUCUCUCCCCCCCUCUCUCUGAUUCUCUAUGAUUAUGCGUGUGUAUAGAUAGAUAUAGAUAUAUACAUAUACAUACAUAUGUAUAUGCGUAUAUCUACACACACAUAUAUAUACAAAUACACACACACACACACACAUGCAUAUAUAUAUAUAUAUAUAUAUAUAUAUAUAUAUAUAUAUAUACACAUACAUAUAUACAUAUGUUUUUCUAAUAGAUCGCCUAGACAUAGUGAUACUAAUAACCCGGUUUUAGAACAUAGUGUACAUAGGCUUUAGCAUAAAGCAUUAGUCGAGUACGGAGCAUAAUAGGAAAUUAAAUAAAUGUCAAUGGAGGGCGGCGAGCUGGCAGAAGCGUUAGCACGACGGGCGAAAUGCUUAGCGGUAUUUCGUCUGUCGCUACGUUCUGAGUUCAAAUUCCGCCGAGGUCGACUUUGCUUUUCAUCCUUUCGGGCUCGAUUAAAUAAGUACCAGUUACGCACUGGGGUCGAUAUAAUCGACUUAAUCCGUUUGUCUGUCCUUGUUUGUCCUCUCUCUGUUUAGCUCCUUGUGGGUAGUAAAGAAAUAGGUAUUUCGUCUGCCGAAGUCGGCUUUGCCUUUCACCCUUUCGAGGUCGAUUAAAUAAGUACCAGUUACGCACAGGGGUCGAUGUAAUCGACUUAAUCCCCUUCCCCAAGCUGCCCCUGAGAUAAAAAUUUGAAAUCAUUAUUAUUUACCAUUGUUUAUUUGUGCUCAUAAUUUUCCCGUCCUUUGCUAAAUAACGAGAUUCCGUAAGAGCUAACUCACUCCUUUUUCGCUAACAUGUAGUUUUCACGUGAAAAUUAAAAAAAUAAAAAACUAGAUUACGAAAUUCAGAACUGCUAGCCUUACAACUCGUCAAUCCCACAGUGCUACCACUGACUUUUGCAGAAAAAUUGUACGAGCCUGUGGUGCCUACUUAUAGCCAGGUGAACUGGGCUGCCUACAUUUAAGUGCCUUAGUCAAGGACCCAAUGCAUUGCGCUACCUUACAUUUUAGUGAAAUAGUGUUAAUGAUUUUCUCUACGCGUUAAAGAAAUUAGAUAAACUGAAUGCCACAUUCUCUGUCUGAACAGCCUCUUGUAUUGCUGAAGAAAUACCUUUAAAUAUUUUUGAGAGAAAGUUGCGACUGAUUCUACGAAGCGAAUCUCAUAUGGAAAUAUUGUUUUCUACUCUAGGCACAAGGCCCGAAAUUUUGGGGAGGGAGCCAGUCGAUUAGAUCUACCACAGUAUACAACUGGUACUUAAUUUAACAACCCCGAAAGGAUGAAAGGCAAAGUCGACCUCGGCGGAAUUCGAACUCAAAACCUAACGGCAGACAAAAUACUAAUUUCUUUAUUGCCCAUAGGGGACCAAACACAGAAAUGGACAAAGCAAUUGAUAGGGAUCAGUAAUGCUUAUGAUUUUACUUAAAAUAUGAAUAUAAAAAUUAUAUAAAAUAUAAGGAAAUUGAAUGAAAUUAACAAUACAGAGAGAACACAAGCUCCGAUCUAUCGCUGGUACCUUUUUUUGUUCUUUUAUAGCCUAUUCACACGGUUCUUUGCACGCACAACUCUUGUGCAACAUGCUUCCAUCUCUUUUUGAAAAUACUCUCCAACAGACACCUCUUCUCCAGCCAUACCUUCCUUUUCAACUGAAAAGUAAAAAAUGAUUGUAAAUCGUGGUCGGAGAUACAGUUAUCUGUCUUAAUCCCUUUUAUCCUAGUCUUCCAUAGUGCCUCUUUCGCUAUUGCUACAACCGUGAGAAAGCAAUUCUUACCUUCGUUUGUUAAAACUUCCGGUGGGUCAAUUUUUAUAAUUGACUCAGUGGACAGCCGUACUCUUCUUUCGCCGGACAACAAGUGUUCAGCAUAAACCCACAUUUCAGAUAUCUCCGGACACUGGACAAUAGCGUGAGGGACGGUUUCCCUGUCUCCCCGGCAUCUUGGACAGGUUACCAUGUCUUGCGAGCUUAUCCCAAACGGGCAAGGCACGUCUGUAACAUUGCCAAGUCAAGGACCUUUAGAAGUUGUCCAACGUUCUCAACCCGAAUGUACGAUGGAACAGGCUUUCCAGGUGAAUAUACCAGAGUCCUAGAGUUGCCCCCAGACUCUACCAACCCACUAUAUAAAAUUCGUGUAGAGCCCCCACCGCUGGCGUUGCCCGAGCGCCGGAAUAGCAGGUGGGCACUCUUUAUACCAUUCACUCGACCUCGGUCUACGAAAACACCAGGCUUCCUGUUCGCAAAAACUUUUGAACUCAGGGAACAUUUGUCUGGCCAGCGGAGACCACAUCCGUUCACCAUCCAGGAAAAUCUAGAGAUGCCUCAACCUCAAAGCAUGCCUGCACAUCAUUAACCAAGGCAUCCCUAAAUCUCCCUUUAACGGCUUUUGACAACAGACAGAGCGUUUCACAAGUGGCGGUCUGCCCUUCCACAAAAAGCGAAAGAGCUGUCUCUCCAACUUGAUCAACUACGAAUCCGGAAAGGGUGGUAGGUAAUGACCGAUGCGAUAAACACAUUGGCCACCUCCGCCUUCCCUUUUAGGGAUAGCAACCGCCAAGACCACCUCGAAACCUCCGUCCAGUUCUUCUCUGUCUGGAGGCCUGGUCCAAACCAGACACCCAGCAAGUUAACCGGUCCCUCUGUCUAGCGCCCAACAACGCUGUCUGAAAGUAUCGACUUGCUAACCCAGGUGCCGAGCUGCAAGCCGACCGACUUUUCCCGGUUAAUCUUUGCUCCUGCCACCGUCUUGUAAAACUCAAUAGCCUUACCCACUUCACGUAGGCAUGCUACUAUGGUUACGCUGAUAGUGAUAUCGUCCACGUAAGCUGUAACAAAUUCCUGGUUCUCUCGGGAUGCCACUCAACCUUCGCAGCAGGGGUUCAAGAUCCACCUCAUACAAAAGUGGUGAGCGCGGACAUCCUUGACGAACCGAGCGCCUGAUGCAGAACGGCUUCGAAAGGAAACCGUUCACUCGAACUAUCGAGUCAAUGUUGUGAUACAAAGCGAUAAACCACCUGAAGAAGCCAAGGCCUAGGCCGAACCGUGCAAGCACAGUCGCCAGGUAUCGAUGGUCAACCCUAUCAAAAGCUUUAGACUGGUCCAAAUGUACCAAUGUUUCACCUUUACCAGAUUUAUCACCAACCCACUCUAUGGUAUAGCGAAUAAGGUGGAGAUUAUCCUGAAUGGUUCUGCCUGGGAUGAGUGAUGGGCCUGAAGUUAUCUAAAACGUCCCCCUUGUCCGGGUCCUUUCUGACCAAAGUCACUACUCCCCGGCGCACAGAUCUGGAGAUAAACCCAUUCUGUUGCCAGUUAGCGUACACCUCAGCCAGUAGGUGCCCGAACAAGUCUGGCAUACAUAUAUACAACUCGUACGAAAGACCAUCAAGUCCCGGCGACUUACCCGCUUUACAGUCGGUCAUAGCCUCCAUCACCUCCACAGGCGUAAUCGGCCCUUUGCAAGACUCCGCAUCCGACCCCGAGAGGCACGGCAGCCCGGCAAGAAAGUCCUCGAGGAUUCCCCCACUAUCAGGACUGCCAUCACCCCGAACAGCUGGGCGAAGUACUCCCGAAAGACCUCACACAUUUCCUUGGGUUCGUUUACCAAGACACCAUUUUGAUUUGUCAAAGACCGAAUAGUGGAACUAUUUCCUUGUCGAGCUUCCAGCACUCGGGCCCAUCCAGCGGCCUUGAUUCCUUCACUUCCCAUCGAACGUAACUAAGCUCUGGCAAUACUUCCCAUGUGUUGGGCUUCAAGAUGCUGGUUCAACUCCAGUCUCUUCACCUUCACUUGGUCCGCAUUACCAGUCCUCCAGGCUUCUUCUAGUUCCUUAACUAGACCAUCUCUUAUUCUACGUCCCUUCUUAGCUAAACUUAUGCUAAACCUAAUAAACUCAUAUUUUAUGGCUCUUUUUAGGGCAUAUUACCAUUUGUUAUUAAUGGUGGUACCUGUCAAUACCCUCUGUAUUAACAUCUCGGUCCGCUUUCUGUAUUCUUCAAUCGCCAAAAGGGACUAUUGAGUUUCCAGUAGCCAGAUCCUUGUCUAUGCAACUUAUCUACUGUCGGUUUGUGGUCACUGUAGCUAACUAGAUAAAACUCUGGGCAGUUAGCUAUGGACUUAUCUGUUUUUCUAAUUAAAACCCUAUCUAUAUAUUUUCUGGAAAAUAUUUGACCACGUCCACUGUGGAGUGUUCAGGCAUUCCAACCUAUAUGGAUCUGCCAGCUGAAAGUGACUUAGCAGAUCCCGUAAGCCAGAGUCACAUUUUCUAUUCAUGUUCGAGCCAACACAAUCUGUGUGUGCGUCAGAGAUUGUGUUAAAGUCUCCUAGCAGUACUAGCGAAUGCGACGUGGCCAGGAACUUGCUCAGGUCACUAAAAUAUUCAUUUUGCGGGCCCAUAACGUUGGGUGCAUAAAUUGCAACCAACCUGAUUAUCUUGCCACAACUGAAUAUCAGGUCGAGAACGACCAACCUGCCUUCUGGAUCAGAAAAAGAAAACUUUUUCUCGGCUACCCAGUUUCUUUUUAGUAUGACCGACACCCUACCCCCCACCUCCCGCCCGACUCAGAGAAACAUAUUUCUCAUAGCCGUUCAGGAGGGGGGAGCAGAUCUCUUGGCCCCUUCACCCAGGUUUCCGUUGCAGCAAUCACAUCCAAUUUUCUUGACCUGAUGUCAUUUAGAAAGCGUCCUUGCUUCCAGCUAGACAUCAGGCCACGAACAUUUACACAACCAAUGUGAAUAGACAUUACUUACAUAUUUAAUCCUGGGUGUCCUGUGGAGAGGGACUCUCCACCUUUUCUUGACAUAGGGUCGGAGGUGGCAGGUCUUUAAAAAUGGAUUGAUUAAAAUCCAAUCUCAUCAUCGACACCAACUUUCUAUAGGUUUUAUAACAUUAUGAGUCUUUUUAUCCAUUUCGUAGAACUCGUAGUUCUUAUAUUUAUCAGAAAGUUCUGCAAUCCUAGUGGCUGAUGUUUUUUGCUUUUAUUUCUCUCAUUAAAUCUUCAUUUUUGCUGUAUAAUGCAACUAUCCCUCUGUCUUCUGCUUCCUUCCUUACUAUUUCUGGUUUGUCUCUUUUCGCAGUUUUUUUUUUCUUAGUUCGACCUGUUUUUGUUGAUUUGAACUUUCCAUUUUUCUCUUGUUGUUAGUUGCUUUCUUUUCUUCUGUUUCUCUCUCUCUCCUCCUCCUCUUCCUCACCAUCGGAUUCUUCCUCGCCGUCUCUACAGUGUUUUUUUUAUAUGGCCCAGCUGACCACACUGGAAACAUCGGUGCUUACGCCCCUCGACGAAUACGUAAAGGAAUUCCUCCCCAAUUUCUAUUUUCUCCUGUAACUGUUCUAAAAUUGACUUUUCUGCUUGUAUUAGGAGGUGAACCGUUUGACCAGUUCAGUAAGCUUUUUCUGUGACAGUACCCUGAAGGAGUGUUAUAUUAACUUCCUUUUUUGCCAGGACUGCCGCCAUCAACCACAUAGGGUCGACUUGGGGUGGGACCCUUGGUAUACAUAUCUUUAACGUCCUCCGUUUCUAAAGAUUUAACUGAGUGCAUUUGUGCAGUUUCUAUAUCUUUUAGUUGUAUUUCGAUAGUACCAAACUUCUUCCCUCUGGCUAGGUAUGUGAUAUCCUGCCAGAUGGGUUUCAAGCACUUAUCAACUUUCUCUUCGCUCACUCGAUCAAUUUUUUUCCUUUUAGACAGUAAGAUUUAAAAAUAAUUGUUUUUCUUUUUUCUAAUAUUAAUAGUUCUUUCACAACACCGUCUUCGAUUGUUAUAUCUUUGUACGUUAUCAAGUCAUUUUUGUUUGUCGACAGCUGGCGGGUUCUACCUCCAGCCGCCGACGCAACACUUCUUUUUUGUCUAUUUUCUUCUGUUUGAAGGCUUUUCACGUCAAUAUUCCUCUUUGCAACAGUGCACGUUGAUGGUUGGGGAAAUUCACUUUAAGAAGAAUCCGAAACAGCGCCAAAUAUUAAACUUUCAAUCUUUUUUGCCUCCCUGUCGGUUGACGACUCUUCGUCAGACGAAGUUACACUUUUCGGCAUCUUGCCAGCAAUUAAUGUUUCCCCACAGGAAAAAACACACGAUAGUUUUCGAACGAAGACUAUCUCACAAAUAAUUAUAACAGUCAAUAGAAACCUGCACUAUACAGACGCACUCCAAUAAUAAUUGCCUAUUUCUUUACUACACACAAGGGGCUAAACACAGAGAGGACAAACAAGGACAGACAAACGGAUUAAGUCGAUUAUAUCGACCCCAGUGCGUACCUGGUACUUAUUUAAUCGACCCCGAAAGGAUGAAAGGCAAAGUCGACCUCGGCGGAAUUUGAACUCAGAACGUAGCAGCAAACGAAAUACCGCUAAGCAUUUCGCCCGGCGUGCUAACGAUUCUACCUGCUCGCCGCCUUCAUAUGAAAAUAUAUAAAUUAAUCAACAAUGGUGAGGAACCAUUGAUAAGUAUUCCAUUUUCAACGAGAAGUAACUGCGCAAAAACAAUUUUUAGUCAGUGGGAUGUCCUAAAAUUACAUGUUCAAAUGGCCUUCUCUGGUUGCAAAAUGUACAAUGCAAUGACGUGCUGUAACUAGAUACAACCAAUGAACUUUAUUUAACAUUUACAAGAUUUGUUCUGAAUGAAUUCGAAAAAAAAUAUUUGCUCUUCCAAAAAAGACAUGGCGAAUCACCAAAGUACCUUAAAUACAUCAUACAUCCUGCACCUUUAAUCUUGAAUCGAAUUUAGACAUUAAAUAUCUGUUUCCUACAAGGUUAGAACGUUUUGACCAGUAAAGUUUGAUGAAAACAUUUCCCAGGAUCAAAGAAAGGUACAAAGAAUAUGUCUUAGCUUUUUUUAGACAGGCAUCAAAACACUCUUGAAUCUAAAAAUAUUGCAAUCUUUAAAAAACAUUUUAAAUCGCCACAAGAAUUUAAGUUAGACUUGCCUGUCAUUUGUAGUUCUCCGAUAGCUUUGGCUCAUAGUAUAUGUCCUGAAGUAAUUCUCAUCGACACGUCAGAAUUUUGGUGCAAAACAGCAACACUUAAAAAGACAGCUGAUGAAUCGGGAUUGACAUAUUUGUAGAAAAUGCAUUGCCUCUUUACAGUAUGUCAUAAAGCAAUCACACGUUAAAGAGUGAUUUUAAGAGUAACCUCCAUCAACAACUAAAGUAGGGGUUGGGAUCAACUUUCGUUUAUUUUAAAACUGAAAAAAAAAAUGAACAAGGCUCGGGCGUAGCUGUAUGGUAAGAAGCUUGCUUCCCGCGCAUUCGUUGGUCUAUUCGCUGUGUUGAUUUUUGACGAGUCGGACGGGAUUUUUUGAUCUGGUUGGCUGCGGUUUGUCGGUGAGUGUUGUACCAGUGGAAAGGAAUGUAUUCGGACCUUAGUGAGUAUGAGCUGUCCUCAGCAGAUGAGGAGCUCGUUAAGGCGGUAAAUAGAAUAGACGAGCAUUUGGAAAGAGUAAAGAUUUUUGUUGAAGCUGCAGAAGUGAAGAAAAGGGAGGUGGACCUAGCCAGACUGAAGGAGCUGAGUAAGAUAACACUGAAGGUGGGCGGUGACGUAAAGUUAUUACCCCCGAAAAGGGUUAUGGAAAAUAUAGAAAAGUAGACCAUUACCUACAAGGUGUACUCAGUGGAGAGUAGGAAGAUGGAGCGGAUGGAGAUGGAAAAAGUAGAAAAAGCUUUGAAGGGGCUUUCGAAGACAGUGACAUACAUAGCGAAAGGAAAUGGAUAUGGGACGGUGGUUGUCCAGUUUAGGAUAACGAAGGAGGCAGAGAGGCUGGCGAGUGCAACUGUAAAAAUGGAGGAAGUGGUACUUCUACCCACGUACCUUUGAAGGAAGACUUCUAGGCGAGGGCAGAAGGAAUUCCCCCUAAUAUAGAAGUGGCUUGGGUUGCGGCAGCCGUCCUCGUUGGAAGUGAGGAGGAGGUGGCUGUCCUCCAAUCCACGGAAACGGAGGGUGGAGAGGAAAAACACUGGACCACUUUAUACAGGCAGAGGAGAUGCAAUUGCAGGGUUUGGCGGAGACGGUGACGUUGAGAGAGAUUGUGUUAUGGGUGUGGGUGGAGGGCAGAAUCCCACGAUGUAUUAAAUGUGGCCAAAAGGACCACAUUAGAGCGCACUGCCCUCUGCAGAGGAAAACGACAGAAGAAGCGGUGGUGAUGACGGAGGAGAAAAAGGAAGUACAGAUAGAUGGAAGGAACAAGGAGGAUGAAUGGACAGUGACAGAGAAUAAAAGGAAAAAGAGAAAGAAGAGGAAGAACAGUCAGUGCGAUGUGGGACCCCAGACCAACUCCAUCCAAACCAAGAUCACUCAGACCCACCCUCCCCAUACAGACACCAAACCCACCCACCUCCUCUCCCCACAAGAAAAAAAAGGGAAAGAACAGACACCACAAAUUUACAAGACCCCUCCCCCAGUGAAAAAAGGUUACGUGUAUACGAAGGAGAGAGUGUUGUCACUCAGUGAUGGGGAAAACGAAAGACUAAAGAGGACUCAGGACUCAGGGGUGGCGAGUGGUGUUACUCAGUGUGGGGUAACACACUUUUCAUAUUCUCAUUUCUCAGUUAUCAUUUAUAUAUCAUUAUUUUAAUAUUUUGAUUUUAAUGUUUUUCAUGUUCAUUUUCAUGUGUCAUUCAGAGCAUCAUAUUUUUAUUUUAAUUGUUAUGUGUCCCCACAUGUGUUGUAGUGCCCCCCUCUAUGUAAUGCCUUUAAGGCAAUUUAAAAUAAAUAAAGAAGCCUGCUUCUCAAUCACAUGGUUCCGGGUUUAGUCCCACUGCAGGCACCUUGUGUCUUCUAUAACCUCGGACCGACCAAAGUUUGAGUGAUUUUGGUAACUAAAAAAAAGCCCACCGUACGUGUGUGUGUGUGUGUGUGUGUGUGUGAGUCUUUGUGUUUGUCCCCCACCACCGCUUGACAACCGGUGUUGAGGUUUACGUCCCCGUAACUUAGCGAUAAAAUAAGUACCACGCUUUAAAAUAUAAGUUCUGGGGUCGUUUAUUUCUACUAAAACCGUUCAAAGCGGUGCCCCAGCAUGGCUGCAAUCAAAUGACUGAAACAUGUGAAAAAUAUCUGAAAAAUCAUCUUGAAUGUCGUAUUAAAUUAUCAACUGAAUAAUCAGAACCAACUUACAGGCUAUCCUUUUACUUUUUUUUUUUUUUCAGCUACUUUUGAAAGCUUUGCUCUAAUUAUGGAAUUGAUCUGGCAAUUGUGUUUUAACCUUUUGUUUACGUCCUCAUAUUUUUACUAUCUAAAAUAACCAUUCUAAUUACAACUUCGAUUACCUAUAUCUAUUAAGCUCUCUAUCCCUCUAAACACAAUAUAUUGUGGAUGUUUAUUUUUACAAAUAGUACAAUCGGAUCAGAUUGACAUGUUGAACGACCUUAUCUUCUUUUAAAUUUGCCAAAAUUUUCACGAGUCUUUCACAAGACUGUUGUAUAAGAUAUUAAAAAGAUCUAUCGUAAGAUAUUCGUAGGGCCUUUUAAAAGAUAUUUGAAAGGGUUUUCAUAAAACGUUAGAUGAUCUUUCCAUAAUAUAUUAGUAAGGCCUCUUAUGUAAGUUUAGAAGUGUUUUUCAGAAUACUUUAAAUAGAUCUCGUAUGAAACUUAAACCGCUAUUUCAUGAGGUAUGCGAAUGACAUUUUAAGUGCUAACCGUUUUAUUACCGCAAACUUUAGAUAGGACUUUCGGUAAAACUGUGUAGCAUUUUAGAACGAAAAUUCGUGUAUUUAUUUUCUAUAUUUGUCCAAUGUUCUGGCAUGUUUUCUAUAUUAUGUUUUCUUUAUAUUUACAGUUUGAUGGUUACUUCAAGACCACCUACCAAGCAGAUUACGGCAGAAAUCCCUAUGCAAUUCCAAAACUGAGUAAAGGGUGCCAAGGUGACAGCAAACCACUUAUAUUCUCAAACACACUGGCGCACACACACGCGCGCGCGCGCGAACACACACACACACACACACACACACACACACACACACACAUACGCACACACUCGGCUAUAUACAAGAUGCAUUACAGAAGUUUUCAGACUUUUUCAGAAGAGACAUUUAUUAAUUGCAAAAGAAUACAAAACUUUAAUCUCCUUCGAAAUAGAAUCCUCUGACCUCGAUGCAUUUGUUCUAGUGCCAUAGCGGCUUUGUGAAGGGCCCUGCGGAAGUCCUCCAAAGUGAAGGUGUCCAGGUCCCUUACCAUAGCCUCCUACAUCUUAAAAAUGACUGCACCUGAGGUUAUCAUUCAGCUUAGGGAAUAACCAAAAGUCACAUGGAGCACCCUGGGAACAAACUUUGCACAGAUUCUACGCAUGUUCGGAUCAGCAUGAAUAAUUUUGUUUACAGCUGUUUCACUAACUCCAAACUGUUUGCUUAUUCUCUUUAUAGAUACACGAUGGUCUUCAUCCAGAAAAUGAUGAAUUUUCUCAACCACCUCUGAUGUUUUGAUGUCCCUUUCUCUCCACAUCAUUCAUCGACUCUCACCUCCUCUCUACCGUCUUUGAACCUUUUGUGGCAGUGAAAAAGUUAAUCCAUAAGCACUCUGGAGAAUUUCAUAAGUUUCUGUAGAGUUUUUAUCCAGUUUAACACGAAAUUUUAUUGCAAAACGAGCUUCCAAGUGGUCAUCACGUCCCAACUGCAUUCCGCAAACUGGUCAGCUGUGACAAGCAGUGUUUAACAGAGUGUGUUCAAAGAAUAACAAAAGUUGGCAAGUCAGCAUAUCAGAUGUAUAGUAAUAAUACACUAAAAUCACAAUAAUCUAAGACAGUUAUAACUGCAUCUCCUAAAAAAAGUCUGAAAAAUUCUGGAAUGCACUUCGUAUGUACAUGCGCGUGCGUUUCUGAGAGCAGAUACGGUUAUGUGAUUAGAGAUUCUCUUCACUAUUUCGUAGUCUCGGGUUCGAUCAUAUUGCACAUGUUGGGCAAGUGUCUUCUAUUGAAUUGAAGAAUAAUUCAUAAGCGUGUUUUUUUUUUCAAAUUUAAAAAUGCACGCAGAAAUAAAACGCAUUGGCAAAAUGUUAUUGGAAAGAGAAUUUUUGCUCUACAAGAAAGUGCUUUGAUUUUUUAAUUUUAUUGAUUUUUGUGUGCAUUUUCAGAUCAUUAAAACGAAAUGUCA